rnacentral:tRNA from 1 species
CUGGUGGUCGGCCUUUAAGGCGAUGGACUAGAAAUCCAUUGGGGUCUCCCCCCCGCACAGGUUCGAAUCCUGUCAACUAUG